GAACCUGUGAAAAUAACCUAUAAAGGCAAUAACAUCAUACAGAUCUCAAUUUCAUGCAUAAUCAGUAGCAGAGAACAUAUCAUAAAUCCAUAUUCAUUGACAAUAACUGAUUAUCAUCGUUUCUCAUUUUUACCAGCCUACUAAUAUCCAUGGGGAUCUAAUAGGGGUGUCCCUACUACACUGAACCAUGCUUCUUAACAGUCUUAAUUCCAGGUCGUCCCCAUACCCCAUUUGGUAUGAGCGCCAAGACAUUAAACCUCAACACCCCGUCCGGUAUG
rnacentral:lncRNA from 1 species